GGGAUUAUGGCUCAGCGGUAGAGCACUCACCUAACACAUGUGAGACCCUGGGUUCAAUCCUCAGUACCA
rnacentral:tRNA from 1 species